rnacentral:ncRNA from 1 species
UGGACUGUGUGCGACUGGCGGAAACAUGGGAUGAACCAUGAGGGAGCACAUGGAUAUAAACAGCCGUACGCCUGGGCAGAGGUA